GACGAACGCUGGCGGCGUGCUUAACACAUGCAAGUCGAGCGAUGAAGCACCUUCGGGUGUGAAUUAGCGGCGAACGGGUGAGGAACACGUGAAGAAUCUGCCUUCAACUCUGGGAUAACUCCGGGAAACCGGGGCUAAUACCGGAUAUGAGCCUUGAUCGCAUGAUCGGGGCUGGAAAGUUUUUCGGUUGAAGAUGACUUCGCGGCCUAUCAGCUUGUUGGUGAGGUAAUGGCUCACCAAGGCGACGACGGGUAGCCGGCCUGAGAGGGCGACCGGCCGCACUGGGACUGAGACACGGCCCAGACUCCUACGGGAGGCAGCAGUAGGGAACACUGCACAAUGGGGGAAACCCUGAUGCAGCAAUUCCGCGUGAGUGAUGACGGCCUUCGGGUUGUAAAGCUCUGUCUUCGGGGACGAUAAUGACGGUACCCGAGGAGGAAGCCACGGCUAACUACGUGCCAGCAGCCGCCGUAA
rnacentral:rRNA from 1 species